AGGUCCCCAACCACUGACCAAACUCCAGUCCAGACAGCCACCUGGCUCGAGGCUGGCCCAGCUUUGCCUCUUCCUUUGGCGGCUCUCAAGGUCUGGGAGUAGGGGGACACCCUUGAAGCCCCAUCCACCCACCGGGACCCCUGCCUUCCAUUUCAGAGGGCUGGCUUCUCCCUGGAGCUGGGAUCUGACGCUGGCCGGUACCGACAGCAGAUACCAGGCCCAUGGGAGGACUACACUUUGAUGCUUCCUUUGAAGCUACGUGUGACUUGUUUUGGCCAAUGAGAUGUAAGCAGAAAACAACUUGUGUCACUCCGGGCAGAAGCUUUAAGAGCCAGUGUUGUCGUUGUGUAAGCAAGAGUAGGUACGGAGUCACCACAGAGAGGAGAACCACUGAUGACCUACAAUGGACAUGUUGGGACAAGAUGUGAAAGCUAUGCCCCUUGAGCAAUACGUAUUGAGGAAGAGGAGAGAAGUGAGAUGGUACAGUGGUCAAGGCCAUUGCUGUUGAGAGAUCAAUGGCACAGCCAUCUACACAGCUGUUUGAACUUUCAAAAACCAUAGGCUCUUUAAGCAUGAUUUUCUUCAUCUACAAAACAGGAAUCAAUAAGCCCUCUUUAUAGACUUCUUUGCAGAAUAAAUGUGAUAAGUCUUAUAAACCUGACAUGUAGUCACCCAGCUUCUAAUUGUGUUACUUACGAAUUCAAAGUAGUUCCCUUUGGAAAACAGUGCUUGCUGAUUCUUAAAACUCCAGAGGACAAACCAGGACCAAUAGAUAGAUGCUACUGGGAGCAAAGCUUAGGCUCAAAAUGACUUUUUUUUUUUUUCAGU